GACGAACGCUGGCGGCGUGCUUAACACAUGCAAGUCGAACGAAGUGGCGAACGGGUGAGUAACGCGUAAUCAACCUGCCCUUCAGAGGGGGACAACAGUGGAAAACGACUGAUAAUACCGCAUACUGAAGGAGGGGAUUGCGUGUGAUUAGCUAGUUGGCGGGGUAACGGCCGACCAAGGCGAUGAUCAGUAGCCGGUUUGGGAUGAUGAACGGCCACAUUGGGCCUGAGACACGGCCCAGACUCCUACGGGAGGCAGCAGUUGGGAAUCUUCCGCAAUGGACGGAAGUCUGACGGAGCAACGCCGCGUGAGUGAUAACGGCCUUCGGGUUGUAAAGCUCUGUUAAUCGGGACGCGGUACCUGAAUAGAAAGCCACGGCUAACUACGUGCCAGCAGCCGCGGUAAUUC
rnacentral:rRNA from 1 species